rnacentral:rRNA from 1 species
UACGUAGGGGGCGAGCGUUGUCCGGAGUUACUGGGCGUAAAGGGCACGCAGGCGGUCUACUGCGUUCGGAGUGACAGUUGUCGGCUUAACUGACAAAGGACUUCGAAAACGGGUAGACUUGAGGCCUUGAGAGGGAGACGGAAUUCCGGGUGGAGCGGUGAAAUGCGUAGAGAUCCGGAGGAACACCGAAGGCGCAGGCAGUCUCCUGGCAAGGACCUGACGCUCAGGUGCGAAAGCUAAGGGGAGCGAACAGG